rnacentral:piRNA from 1 species
UGAUGCUUUCUAGGUUCCUGUG